rnacentral:rRNA from 1 species
GACGAACGCUGGCGGCGUGCUUAACACAUGCAAGUCGAACGGAAAGGCCCUGCUUUUGUGGGGUGCUCGAGUGGCGAACGGGUGAGUAACACGUGAGUAACCUGCCCUUGACUUUGGGAUAACUUCAGGAAACUGGGGCUAAUACCGGAUAGGAGCUCCUGCUGCAUGGUGGGGGUUGGAAAGUUUCGGCGGUUGGGGAUGGACUCGCGGCUUAUCAGCUUGUUGGUGGGGUAGUGGCUUACCAAGGCUUUGACGGGUAGCCGGCCUGAGAGGGUGACCGGCCACAAUGGGACUGAGAUACGGCCCAGACUCCUACGGGAGGCAGCAGGGGGGAAUAUUGCACAAUGGGCGGAAGCCUGAUGCAGCAACGCCGCGUGCGUGAUGACGGCCUUCGGGUUGUAAACCGCUUUCGCCGGUGACGAAGCGUGAGUGACGGUAAUGGGUAAAGAAGCACCGGCUAACUACGUG